ncrna:unclassified sequences L19-Flavobacteria ribosomal protein leader
UAACCUCUGGCGAGAAUCGUGGAUGUUG